rnacentral:rRNA from 1 species
CACGUAGGGCGCAAGCGUUGUCCGGAAUUAUUGGGCGUAAAGAGCUCGUAGGCGGUCUGUUGCGUCCGCUGUGAAAACUCGGGGCUUAACCCCGAGCCUGCAGUGGAUACGGGCAGACUAGAGGUAGGUAGGGGAGAAUGGAAUUCCCGGUGUAGCGGUGAAAUGCGCAGAUAUCGGGAGGGACACCGGUGGCGAAGGCGGUUCUCUGGGCCUUACCUGACGCUGAGGAGCGAAAGCGUGGGGAGCGAACAGG